ensembl:lncRNA
CAAAAAACAAAUGAAUAAUUCAUUAAAAAAAAUAAAAUUGGAAAAAAAAAAAAAAAGAAGGAAAAAAAAAAGGAUGAGAGAUUGAGAGAAAAGGGAACCUGUGAGAAUCUGCAGCAGGGCGAGGUGCAAGGACUGCCCCAAGCCCCUCCUGCUCUGGGCCGGCACUCACCAGCACAAGCAAUGCGCAGGGUCCGGCCGCCUCUCACCCAGCCCACCACACUGCGCAGGCCGGCCAGCGUCAGCCACACGAAGGGGAUGCACUGUGGAGCUGCAGAAGGGAAGGAGAAGGCCAUGGUCAGAGCCCCGGCAGCGAGGGAGGAGGGGCUGCAGCCCUGCAUCCCCCAGCUCAACGCAGAUCACGCGCAGAGGGGAGAGACCCCUUCAGGAGGCUGAGGGCACUCUACCGUAGCUGGUGAACAGUUUGCUCAGGGUGAGGAGCACAAACUCCUUGGACAUCUCCCCCACGGCCUUCAGGUGGCCCUGGAGCUCGGCCAUCACCAAGCUGAAGUGAGUCCGGGCCAGAGCCACCAGGACAUCGCUGGCAGCCAUCCUCACGCUGUCCGGCACGCCCUGAAAAAGAGUGACUGGUGACACGCGGCACAGGAGACUGCCUGAGGCCUUCCCUUGGAAGGGCUAAGCCCCUGCUGUCCGCCAGCAGAACACCAGCGCGGGCAGGCGGCUCCCUUUGCCGCCUUUGGGAGUGACCCCUCACCUGGGCUGCCGUCAGGUCCUGGGACACCUCAGCCAGCAGCCGGUUCACCACUCCGCACGGCGGGCGGCUGUCACCUUCCCGCAGGACGUGCUCCAGCUCGCAGUACGCCUGCGCUCGGUCACCCUGGGGACAGGGAUCAGUCCCGUUUUGCCUUGCCCUUGUUCCCGGGGAGCCGCCCGCUGCCACCCAUCGCUAUGCCGAUGUGCUGCCAGGGCCUGGCACCCACAGGGCCGUGGCACUGGGGCAGGGCAAGGGCUGAUGGUUGGAUAUCCCCAUCUCACCUCCUUGUCUUGCAGGCGCUGCAGCAGCAAAGUCACGGCACAGGCGGGGACAGGGCUUGCCACCCUGCCUCUGGCCCUGCGACGUGUACCUCUGGGCACGCAGCCCACACAGGCAAAGAGACCUGGAAGGAAAGAGCAGAGCAGCUGCCACUGGUGUUGCUUGGAGCCAGGGCCGAGCAUCCGGCCAGCUCAGGGAGGAACCCAGCCCCUCCC